UACGUAGGAGGCAAGCGUUGUCCGGAAUUACUGGGCGUAAAGCGCGUGUAGGUGGUGGGACAAGUCUGCUGUGAAAGCGCCUGGCUUAACCGGGCGAGGUCGGCGGAAACUGUCCGACUAGAGGACGGUAGAGGGGGUGGAAUUCCCGGUGUAGUGGUGAAAUGCGUAGAGAUCGGGAGGAACACCAGUGGCGAAGGCGGUUGCCUGGGGCUUUGCUGACGCUGAU
rnacentral:rRNA from 1 species